AGUAAAAUGUACUUUCCGCUCAACCAAGGGUGUAGGCAAAACAACAGGAAAAGGUGCCAUAUCUCUUUGAAUUUUGGUAACACAUUUUUUCUCACUUUGUGACAAGGAAAUAGUGAAGGACGUUAUUGUCAACAUGGAGAAAUGGGUCGGUCGGGUUGCGCUUGUUACCGGAGCCUCGGUGGGGACAGGAGCCGCCAUCACACGAGCUUUGGUCAAACAUGGCAUGAAAGUUGUGGGCUGUGCAAGAAACGUGCAACAAAUUGAGUCUAUACGAGAUGAGCUGAAGGGUGAAAAGGGUCAGCUGAUUCCAAUCAAAUGCGAUCUCACCAAAGAAGAGGAGAUUUUGGCAAUGUUUAAAAAAAUCCAGAAAGAUCUAGGGGGUGUAGAUGUGUGCAUUAACAACGCCGGACUAUCACACUGUGCGCCCUUGCUGUCUGGCAGCACUGCUGACUGGAAAAACAUGUUAGAUGUUAAUGUACUUGGUCUUUGCAUAUGUACCAGGGAAGCUUUCCAACAAAUGCAGAAAAACAAAGUUGAUGAUGGUCACAUCAUUCUAAUGAAUAGCUUGUCUGGACACCGUGUCGUUCCAAAUGCAGCGGGUCAUUUUUACUCUGUCACAAAAUGUGCUGUGUCUGCAAUUCUGGAGGGUAUCAGGAACGAACUUCAUAUGCUGAAUUCUCACAUACGGGUUUCGUCUGUCAGUCCAGGGAUAGUGGCAACAGAAUUCCAUCAAAGAAUGUAUAAAAGUCCAGAAGUUGGGAAGAGAAUUUGUAGUCGUAUGAAGUACUUAAAGCACAGACUUUUAAUUGAUUUUUCAGUGUUUGGAAGGAGAGGAUUUGGCCAAUGCAGUCAUUUAUGCAUUAAGUGCACCAGCACAUGUACAGGUUCAUGACAUCCUGGUGAGAUCAAUUGAACAGAAAACGUAAUUCAAACCUAACAAAGAGACAAACACUUAUUUGAUUGUUGACAAUAUUAUGCAAUUUCGGAAAUUAAUUGUUAUUUUUGAAAAUUUCUGAAUAUACAUGACCAUGGGGUUUUCCUACUGUAUACUCAUAUCUAUUUUGUUUAGUAUGAAUCAAUUAAAGUGUAUGGUUCUAUUGAACAGAGCAGAAACUGUUUUACUUUUUCUCAUUACAAUAAGUGUUUUUCGAUAGUAUCUUCUGUAGUAUUUUCUUAUUCCCUGAUUCUGCUAAAUCUCAGAGGAGUGAAAGGGUGAUAUCCCUAAACAAGGAAACGGCUCCUUUUUACAUACAAUGAUCUAUACAAAAUCUACCAUGCUUUUGAUAACACAAGAGUAAAUAAAUAUCACACACCCUUGUUACUGUUGACAUCUUUGAUAAUUUUUAUUGAAUUGAUUGAUGCAUUAUCGAUGAUUUUGUACACACUCUGUAAAUGUGAAUUUUGUUCUGGUUUGUGAUUCUCUCCUUCCAAUGAAUAAAAUUGAACAG
rnacentral:misc_RNA from 1 species